GCCGGGAUAGCUCAGUUGGUAGAAGC
rnacentral:tRNA from 1 species